UACGUAGGUGGCAAGCGUUGUCCGGAUUUACUGGGCGUAAAGAGCGCGCAGGCGGUCGUGCAAGUCGCGUGUGAAAGCCCCCGGCUCAACUGGGGAGGGUCACGCGAUACUGCUCGACUCGAAGGCAGGAGAGGGAAGUGGAAUUCCCGGUGUAGUGGUGAAAUGCGUAGGAUAUCGGGAGGAACACCAGUGGCGAAGGCGACUUCCUGGCCUGUUCGUUGACUG
rnacentral:rRNA from 1 species